UACGUAGGGCGCAAGCGUUAUCCGGCAUUAUUGGGCGUAAAGAGCUCGUAGGCGGUUUGUCGCGUCUGCCGUGAAAGUCCGGGGCUCAACUCCGGAUCUGCGGUGGGUACGGGCAGACUAGAGUGAUGUAGGGGAGACUGGAAUUCCUGGUGUAGCGGUGAAAUGCGCAGAUAUCAGGAGGAACACCGGUGGCGAAGGCGGGUCUCUGGGCCGAUACUGACGCUGAGGAGCGAAAGCGUGGGGAGCGAACAGG
rnacentral:rRNA from 1 species